CCUGUAGUCAGAGAUGCAAGGUUAAUGGUCCUGGCUGGCUGAAGGCACUGAAGUACCAGGGAUAGAGUAGUUGCUGGAAAGAAUUGGGAGAGCAAGGAGCACCUGGCUAAGCUGGAAUACAGAGCCUUGAGGCGUCGCCAACCUAUUGUGCAAGGCUACUCAAGUGAACAGCUGUACUUCAUUGACAAUAGACCAUAAGGGAGCAAGCCACUUCGAAGGAAUUUCCCUGUGAAACAUGCAGCCCAGCGGGCAGGUCAAGGUGGUUUGACUAAAAAGAACAUGGACAGAUGUGACACUGAGUACAUUUCCCAGACCUGAAGAAGAAUUCUGUGUAGCUCAAGGUUUCUUUCUUUCACUAACAGAAGUUGGUCCAAUAAAAGAUAUACUUCAUUCACUUUGUCUCUCACAACAGCACAAUAGCUAAAACACCUGAGCCCUUUCAACCACUUCCACUAUGGGUACCAUUGACUGAGCUACACUGAUGGAAAAUUACAAGGCUGAAUGUUCUCACUAUAGAUAUACCUAAGAAAGCAGCUGAGCUGGGAGACUGAAGACCUGGAGCCAUGAUGUACCUUGUAAAUAGGAAGAACACUGUUGAUGUGCUUCAGUACAUAAUAUAUUGUUUUUGUGUCUUUAAUUGCUGAUUAUUAGUAUAGUCAAACCCAAAGCAAGCACA